rnacentral:rRNA from 1 species
UACGUAGGUGGCAAGCGUUGUCCGGAAUUAUUGGGCGUAAAGCGCGCGCAGGCGGUCCUUUAAGUCUGAUGUGAAAGCCCCCGGCUUAACCGGGGAGGGUCAUUGGAAACUGGUGGACUUGAGUGCAGGAGAGGAGAGUGGAAUUCCACGUGUAGCGGUGAAAUGUGUAGAGAUGUGGAGGAACACCAGUGGCGAAGGCGACUUUCUGGGCUGUAACUGACGCUGAGGCGCGAAAGCGUAGGGAGCAAACAGG